GCUCCGGUGGUGUAGUCCGGCCAAUCAUCUUGCCCUCUCACGGCAAGGACCAGGGUUCAAAUCCCUGCCGGAGCA
rfam:Halorhabdus tiamatea SARL4B complete genome